ACAAGAUGAUUGAUUAGUGCAGGACCUGAGAGAACCCCUGAGAAAAUGGGGCAAGCGGGCAGGAAGAAGAGAAGCCCCCUGACUCCUCCCUGAGCCCCAGACAGCCCAUGAACUGCCUUGCUGGGAAUGGUGGGACGGGCUGGACUCUGCAUUGCUCCCUCGGGAUGUGUGGCUCUCCCCUCAGGAACUGCAGGAACUCCUGGUGCCGCCUGGGCCGAUGGAUUGGACGCCCCAGCCCCUCCGUUCCUGCCCAGC